AAAAAAUGCACACGCGUUUUUUCCUUCUCCUCCUCCUCUCUCCGCCGAACCUUGCCGCCCCUAAACCCUAGCGCCGCCGGUCUUGCCGCGAUCUUCCCUGAGCACCUCUAAACCCUAGCCUUUGCUCGCCUCUCUCGCCUCAAUCAGCCCGCAGCAAGCUCCCUCUCUCACAGCAAACGCUGCGUCGGGUCUCCUUCCCUCACUGCGCCUCGUCGCCGCCUACCUCUCAACCGAAGAGAUUUAGUGGCCAAUCUGAAUCUUUGCAAGACUAUUAUAGUAGAGCCAUUAUCCUCUGACAACUUUUGUAUAGUUUCUGCUUAUUCAUCUAAGACUUCAAUUCUUCAGAAGCACUGUCUGUAGUUGGUGUAUGUUUUUUUCGAGUUCACUCCUGUAUUGUGUAGAUUUCUUCAUUUUCAAAAUUAUCAAAUGGGCACCCCUAUAAUGUUUUAUGCUCAGAGGUAUAUAUGCUCAUCAAGAUAACUGUGUAACAGAAGAGUAGUCCUACUUCAUAUUUAUGGUUGUUGGCCUAGAUUCUUUGAACUAAACAUAAUAUAUAGUGUUAGUUCCAUAACAAAUUAUCUAAGUUCUAUUUGCUCGUCAAUAUUCCUUCUGCAGAAUGUAAUAAUUUUUUUUAAUCAAAGUAAUCAAAAUUUGAUUAUUAGGUUGUUGUUUUAUGGCAUCAUCAAGUUUUAGCAGCAUCGAAAAUACAAGAUUUCAACCUGUAACAUGUAGGGACUGCGGACAAAGAACAUUGGUGUGUGUUUCUAGAUCAACCAAGAAUCCUG